rnacentral:rRNA from 1 species
UACGGGGGGGGCAAGCGUUGUUCGGAAUUACUGGGCGUAAAGGGCUCGUAGGCGGCCAACUAAGUCAGACGUGAAAUCCCUCGGCUUAACCGGGGAACUGCGUCUGAUACUGGAUGGCCUGAGUUUGGGAGAGGGAUGCGGAAUUCCAGGUGUAGCGGUGAAAUGCGUAGAUAUCUGGAGGAACACCGGUGGCGAAGGCGGCAUCCUGGACCAACACUGACGCUGAGGAGCGAAAGCCAGGGGAGCAAACGGG